GCAAGUCGAGGGGUAACGAUGUCUUCGGACAGGCGACGACCGGCGCACGGGUGAGUAUCGCGUUUGUAACCUACCUUUAACUGGAGCAUAGCCCGAAGAAAUUCGGAUUAAUACUCCAUAACACUAUGAACUGGCAUCUUUUUAUAGUUAAAGCUCCGGCGGUUAAAGAUGGGCAUGCGUAACAUUAGCUUGUUGGUGAGGUAACGGCUCACCAAGGCUACGAUGUUUAGGGGGUCUGAGAGGAUGGUCCCCCACACUGGUACUGAGACACGGACCAGACUCCUACGGGAGGCAGCAGUGAGGAAUAUUGGUCAAUGGGCGCAAGCCUGAACCAGCCAUGCCGCGUGAAGGAUGACAGCCCUAUGGGUUGUAAACUUCUUUUGUACGGGAAGAAACAUUUCUACGUGUAGAAACUUGACGGUACCGUACGAAUAAGCAUCGGCUAACUCCGUGCCAGCAGCCGCGGUAAUACGGAGGAUGCAAGCGUUAUCCGGAUUUAUUGGGUUUAAAGGGUACGUAGGCGGAAACUUAAGUCAGUAGUGAAAUCCUGCAGCUUAACUGUAGAACUGUUAUUGAUACUGGGUUUCUUGAAUAUUGUUGAGGUAGGCGGAAUAAGUAAUGUAGCGGUGAAAUGCUUAGAUAUUACUUAGAACACCGAUUGCGAAGGCAGCUUACUAAGCAAUGAUUGACGCUGAGGUACGAAAGCGUGGGGAGCGAACAGGAUUAGAUACCCUGGUAGUCCACGCUGUAAACGAUGAUCACUCGUUGUUGGCAAUACAUCGUCAGCGACUGAGCGAA
rnacentral:rRNA from 1 species